UGGGGAAUAUUGGACAAUGGGCGAAAGCCUGAUCCAGCCAUGCCGCGUGUGUGAAGAAGGUCUUCGGAUUGUAAAGCACUUUAAGUUGGGAGGAAGGGCAGUAAAUUAAUACUUUGCUGUUUUGACGUUACCGACAGAAUAAGCACCGGCUAACUCUGUGCCAGCAGCCGCGGUAAUACAGAGGGUGCAAGCGUUAAUCGGAAUUACUGGGCGUAAAGCGCGCGUAGGUGGUUCGUUAAGUUGGAUGUGAAAUCCCCGGGCUCAACCUGGGAACUGCAUUCAAAACUGACGAGCUAGAGUAUGGUAGAGGGUGGUGGAAUUUCCUGUGUAGCGGUGAAAUGCGUAGAUAUAGGGAGGAACACCAGUGGCGAAGGCGACCACCUGGACUGAUACUGACACUGAGGUGCGAAAGCGUGGGGAGCAAAACAGGAUUAGAUA
rnacentral:rRNA from 1 species